rnacentral:rRNA from 1 species
UACAGAGACUGCAAGCGUUAUUCGGAUUCACUGGGCGUAAAGGGUGCGCAGGCGGCCGUGUGUGUCAGAUGUGAAAUCCCGGGGCUCAACCCCGGAACUGCGUCUGAAACUACAUGGCUAGAGUAUUGGAGAGGGUAGCGGAAUUCACGGUGUAGCAGUGAAAUGCGUAGAUAUCGUGAGGAACACCAGAGGCGAAGGCGGCUACCUGGACAAUUACUGACGCUCAGGCACGAAAGCGUGGGGAGCAAAAGGG